rnacentral:rRNA from 1 species
UACAGAGGUCUCAAGCGUUGUUCGGAUUCAUUGGGCGUAAAGGGUGUGUAGGUGGCGCGCUAAGUCGGGUGUGAAAUUUCGGAGCUUAACUGCGAAACUGCAUUCGAUACUGGCGUGCUUGAGGACUGGAGAGGAGACUGGAAUCCAUGGUGUAGCAGUGAAAUGCGUAGAGAUCAUGAGGAAGACCAGUGGCGAAGGCGGGUCUCUGGACAGUUCCUGACACUGAGGCACGAAAGCGUGGGGAUCAAACAGG